rnacentral:pre_miRNA from 1 species
AUUCUACUCCCUCCGUUGCACAAUACAUGCCUUCUAUUUGUCAAAAUAUAUAUGUAUCUAGACAUGUUUUAGUAUAUAGGUACAUCCAUUUUUUGACAAAUGGAAGUCAAGUAUUUUGGAAUGGAGGGAGUACACA